UACGAAGGGGGCUAGCGUUGCUCGGAAUCACUGGGCGUAAAGGGUGCGUAGGCGGGUCUUUAAGUCAGGGGUGAAAUCCUGGAGCUCAACUCCAGAACUGCCUUUGAUACUGAGGAUCUUGAGUCCGGAGAGGUGAGUGGAACUGCGAGUGUAGAGGUGAAAUUCGUAGAUAUUCGCAAGAACACCAGUGGCGAAGGCGGCUCACUGGCCCGGUACUGACGCUGAGGCACGAAAGCGUGGGAGCAACAGG
rnacentral:rRNA from 1 species